rfam:Schistosoma margrebowiei strain Zambia genome assembly, scaffold: SMRZ_scaffold0000573
AUCUAGUUGAUGAGUCUUUAAUAGGACGAAACUAGAGUCCUGUAU